rnacentral:sRNA from 1 species
CUUUCCUUAUUUUCCCCAAGGUGUGGUAUUUUUGUGAGUAUUAUUAAAGUUGCAUUCAUGUUUUGGACACUAUCUAGGAGUCAGAAACCAGGGGUCUUUGGACACUGUGUUCUAUUCUGCAGGCAGGAGUAGCCACUGGAGGUUUUACAACUUUGACCUGCCUGCCAUCAAGCAGAAGUAGGAAUUUUGCAAGUCUGAAGGUAUAGUGCAGGCCCUCCAGGAACAUAUGUCAGGUACCUCUGUGCUUUUUCCAAAGUGGAAAUUCCAGUUCUGGACACAUUGACCCUUUCAAAAGUUUACCAGCUAAUGCGCAAGCCUCAAGGCCAACUGAGAAAGGGGCUGUGAGUGGUAAUAUAAACACCAAAGUUCUCUAAAAUACACAAGACCUGUAGGGUAUGUGUCUUCUGUACUUCAGGUGUGUAGUCCAUUUCUGACAGGUUGUGUUAGUGAGUUUUAAGAAUGGAGAGGAGAAUUGAGGGUUUGCUUUUUCUUUGAAAGCAAAAAUAAAUGGUCACAUUCUUCUGAUACAGUAAAAACCCUUGAAAUGCCCUAGUUUAGAAUAGCACCUGAUUAAUUAAGAGUUAAAAGCCUAAGAAAGUUUAUUAAGGCAUGCAUGGCCUUGGGAUAACAAUGAAACAGUUUGUCUACUGGCAUCUGUCUGCUGGUUUCUUGACACCGGUGUAAUAUAGAAUUGUGACGUAAAGAACCACAAAAGAUAAGAGGGUUUCGUUUCAUUGGUUUGGUUUUGUUCUAAGGAAUGCAAUCUUUCAGUCAUUAUCUUUUAUUUACCUGAGUAAAAUAAAUCAGUUCCAAAAAACUGUAUACUGAUGCUUUUAUUAUUCUUGCAUUAUUGUCAGGUAACUCCUAAGUUAAAUAUAGAUUUGAGUGUCCAUAUGUGGCUUAUAUGAUUAUUAUGGCUCUCAAACAAGAUCUUAGCUCCAAGUCCCUGUUAGUUAAAACACUACAAAAAGUUGUUCAGUUUGCACAUAUUUAAUAGUCAGCUUUUCACUUAUGAAGUCUGAGCAGUCGAAGUAUUGCUCAGUAGAAAGCUGACAGCAAACUUUUUCCUUCUUUGUGUAGUAAAAUCACUGUAAGAGUUGAGGUUCAGUGCAUUUCCUGGGGCUUAAUGCCUAGCGGAGGUUGCUGGCCUGUGGCAUUGCUUUGGGUCAUCAACUCUUCUGGCUGGUCAUUAAUCCCCAGGAAAUGCCCUGUGCAGCUCCAGCUUCAGUCAUUAUUACUUAAUCAUAAACAUAGGCUCUCUAGCCUAAUACUGACUGGGCUUUAUCAAGUAGUGUCAUACGGAAUUCCACUUUUGACCAUCUUAGAGACAUCUUGAUAACAGAGAGGUCACACACUGAUGUUUUGAUUUUCUACUAAUGUUGCAAGUUUCUCAAAAGAUGAAGAGCCUGCUUCUUUAAAUGCACUUACUCUUUUUACUUCUUGAGGGUAUUAUUAAGUAUAUUAUUUAUGGGACUGGUUGAAAAAUGAAUGCAUUCAAGGAUUAACAAAGAUGGAAUGUGUGAUUGCUCAUGUAAAGUAUCGCUUUUAGGGGGAGUGAGGAAUUAGGGCAAUGCUUGUGAUGGUUGCUUUAACUGGUCCACUCUUUAAUUCUCUUGAAUGGUUGUGUUAAAAGUAAAGGGUAGUUUUAGGUCCCUUGUCCCCCAAAUAGCUAUUGUGAUCUAAAAUGAUCCAGUUAUUGGUACGGUUUGCAAGCUCCCAGGUGGAGGUCAUGUAGUCCAUUUUAAACUGCUUACCACUGUAUCUUCCAUCCUUAUAACUAUUCUCUUUGCAUAAAAAUAGAGCAUUUUUCCUACCUCAGAGAACAGUACUUCAGUUUAGAGGGAUGAUAGAGAUUUAUAAUUUUGUUCUUUAUCAUUCUCAGAGGAAAAAAUACUAAUAAAGUUUAGAUUCUGAAUGUCAUAGUUUUGUCACUACAGUUUUUGUAGACAUGUCUCUGCUGUGCCAAACAAAAGUGUGAAGCAUUUGCAAGCUGUGACAAAGGUGUCUUUAGUUGCACUUGCUUGACCCUAACCUAGAUUAUUUCCAGAAAUACUUUUCAGGAAUUCUGUAGAGAGGACAUCUAUUAGUGGAAAGAUUUUGGGGGCUGGUGCACAUCCCCUGUUUGUGUUUUAUUGUCUUCAACGUGGGCCGUUGGUCCUUAUAGUUAGCAGGGUGGGAACUGCAGCAGGCUGCAAGCAGGCUGACACAGUUGUUCAUUAACUUACCUUUGAGGAGAAGCCAGAGGCUGACAGCUCAGGGAAUCCACUCAGGUGCUGUAGGGGCAAGGAAGAAGGAAUAUUUAAUGUAUCUACUUAAUAGUGAAAGGCAUGUAUUUUAUGUAUUAUUGAAAUAACUGCUAAGGUCCUAUUUUGAAUUUGAAGACUAAGAGGGAGGGGUGUUCUUUAUUCCUUAUAGAUGGAAUCAAAUUUUUAUAAACAUGAAAGGAGUAUAGCAAUUGUAACAAGACUUCUUGCCAUGGUUAUUUGGAGCUAUUAAGAUUAACUGCCUUUUAAAGAGUGGGUAUUUUUCUGAUUUUUAAUAUUAGUUUGUGGCUACAUUCCUUUUUCUACUGCAAGAAUGUUUGCUCUCUUUUAUGAAAAGUUCAAGUUGGUAGAUAAACUAAAUGUUUUGUACAUAAGUAUAUAACUUUCUUCAUUCAGGAAGUAGUUACUGAGCGCCUACUGUUUUGGCUUUUGUACCAGGAAUCUAUAAAUUAAUCGUUUUCCACCUGGCAAGUAGUCUCAUUGGCAAAAUUUUGGCUUCUUUAUCUGUUUAAACUAGAUCAAAAUAAAGACAGUUAAAAGGUGA